rnacentral:tRNA from 1 species
GCCUAAUUAGCUCAGUUGGUAGAGCACCCGGCUGUUAACCGGUAGGUCGUAGGUUCGAGUCCUACAUUAGGCGCCA